AAAAUACAGGUAGGUAUUUAAAGUUCACACAGAUAUGCACAUACAUGAUAUAAUCAUAUAUGUGAAUAUUUACAUGUUUUUCCUUUCAAUUAACUGGUAAGUGUAAAGUACAGGUAGUUAUUUUAAGUUCACACAGAUAUGCACAUA